GAUGAUUCUUCUUCUCCAUCUGGUUUGACCAGUCCUGCAUGUUGUGGGAGCAUGCUUAAGGCAACAGAUAGAUACUCUGGGCCAUGACCCUGCAGUUGUGAUUGUCCCUGAAGGCAACAACAUAAUAACCACAGUAAAGGAAGAUGCACAGGAAAAAUACCUAGGCUGGUGGGGGAAAGGGUAAUUUAUUUUGGGGGUAGCCCUAGCCGUUUAGCAGUUGCCCAGUAGAGAGAAAGCACUUCAUGAAUGAACCGUGGUGGUCAUUAUUCACCUCUUGCUUCUCCUGCCUUCCCAAACUUGGCUACUAUGCUUCAGACGCUGCUACCUUCUCACUGUGGAACCUCCUCUGCAAUGAUGACCCCUUUUUCCCAAUGGUAGGAUCACACAGGACUAGCCGACCCUGUGGUGGAGUCUUACAAAUGGCCGCCUGGACAGGGAUUUGCCUUCAUAACCCCGAUUCCUUUGCUGGUCUUAGGAUGAUGAGGAGUAAUGACCCCCUCUACUAGUCCGCAGAUCGGGUAAAGACAGAGUAUGGCUCCCUCCCCUCUGAGUUUGAGAAAUUGACCAUAAAGAGAAGGACAAAGAGAGGAUGCAGGAAGCCUCGCAAGAAGACUUGACAAUGUCUCCAUAAGAUACUGACUCUUCUGCUUCUAUUCCAGAAUUUAAGUACAGCUAUUGGAAUAAAGAGAUGGUUUUUUGAGAACAA